GAUGAACGCUGGCGGCGUGCCUAAUACAUGCAAGUCGAGCGAACAGACGAGGAGCUUGCUCCUCUGACGUUAGCGGCGGACGGGUGAGUAACACGUGGAUAACCUACCUAUAAGACUGGGAUAACUUCGGGAAACCGGAGCUAAUACCGGAUAAUAUAUUGAACCGCAUGGUUCAAUAGUGAAAGACGGUUUUGCUGUCACUUAUAGAUGGAUCCGCGCCGCAUUAGCUAGUUGGUAAGGUAACGGCUUACCAAGGCGACGAUGCGUAGCCGACCUGAGAGGGUGAUCGGCCACACUGGAACUGAGACACGGUCCAGACUCCUACGGGAGGCAGCAGUAGGGAAUCUUCCGCAAUGGGCGAAAGCCUGACGGAGCAACGCCGCGUGAGUAAUGAAGGUCUUCGGAUCGUAAAACUCUGUUAUUAGGGAAGAACAAAUGUGUAAGUAACUAUGCACGUCUUGACGGUACCUAAUCAGAAAGCCACGGCUAACUACGUG
rnacentral:rRNA from 1 species